rnacentral:lncRNA from 1 species
AGAAAGCAGGGAUUCAGGAACAAGGAAACAAGCCCUCCACUGCUGGGAGAGGCGUGGGGAAAACUGAAACAGGGGAACUCUCGGAAGAAAUGACAACCUGUUCCUCCUGCCUUUUGGGAUCUUGCGAUGUGGGCCCGGAUUUGCUUUAUAUCAUUUUCUUGUUGUUCCAUGUCACGUGGAAGAAUGCCUUGGAGGAGGCUGUCUGCAAACACUGGCAGUAUUCUUAGAGGAAGCUUGGGUUUGGGGCCUAGACACAUCCAGUCUCCAUGAAACGAUGAGAACAGCUGUCCUGAAAUGACAGAGCAAGAAACCUGCGCAGCAACAGCCUCAGAGAGGCCCCUUAAUAUACCUUCUCUACUAUGAAAAAUCAGAUUUUGUGAACAAUUUGGCAUGAGGAGAGAAAGGAACCUGAAGUUUUUAGCAAGGAAGGAGGAAGACAAGGAGGAAGAGAAAGAAGAAAAAAAAGGAAAAAAAAAGGCAGACUUCAUAUGUCCCUCCCAACUCUUUUUUUAUCCACCUCUUAAAGGCCAAGGUUAUUUACUCAUAUUUUAGUAUUAUGUUUAAGCAAUAAAAAGGUGUUUUUAUUAAA